GACGAACGCUGGCGGCGUGCUUAACACAUGCAAGUCGAACGGAAAGGCCUUUUCGGAGGUACUCGAGUGGCGAACGGGUGAGUAACACGUGGGUGAUCUGCCCUGCACUCUGGGAUAAGCCUGGGAAACUGGGUCUAAUACCGGAUAGGACCGCACUUUAGUGUGUGUGGUGGAAAGUUUUUUCGGUGUAGGAUGAGCCCGCGGCCUAUCAGCUUGUUGGUGGGGUAAUGGCCUACCAAGGCGGCGACGGGUAGCCGGACUGAGAGGUUGGUCGGCCACAUUGGGACUGAGAUACGGCCCAGACUCCUACGGGAGGCAGCAGUGGGGAAUAUUGCACAAUGGGCGCAAGCCUGAUGCAGCGACGCCGCGUGGGGGAUGACGGCCUUCGGGUUGUAAACUCCUUUCGCCAGGGACGAAGCGUUUUGUGACGGUACCUGGAGAAGAAGCACCGGCUAACUACGUGCCAGCAGCCGCGGUAAUACGUAGGGUGCAAGCGUUGUCCGGAAUUACUGGGCGUAAAGAGCUCGUAGGUGGUUUGUCACGUCGUCUGUGAAAUUCCACAGCUUAACUGUGGGCGUGCAGGCGAUACGGGCUGACUUGAGUACUGUAGGGGUAACUGGAAUUCCUGGUGUAGCGGUGAAAUGCGCAGAUAUCAGGAGGAGCACCGAUGGCGAAGGCAGGUUACUGGGCAGUUACUGACGCUGAGGAGCGAAAGCAUGGGUAGCAAACAGG
rnacentral:rRNA from 1 species